UAGGGAAUCUUCCGCAAUGGGCGAAAGCCUGACGGAGCAACGCCGCGUGAGUGAUGAAGGUCCUCGGAUCGUAAAACUCUGUUAUUAGGGAAGAACAAAUGUGUAAGUAACUAUGCACGUCUUGACGGUACCUAAUCAGAAAGCCACGGCUAACUACGUGCCAGCAGCCGCGGUAAUACGUAGGUGGCAAGCGUUAUCCGGAAUUAUUGGGCGUAAAUCGCGCGUAGGCGGUUUUUUAAGUCUGAUGUGAAAGCCCACGGCUCAACCGUGGAGGGUCAUUGGAAACUGGAAAACUUGAGUGCAGAAGAGGAAAGUGGAAUUCCAUGUGUGGCGGUGAAAUGCGGAGAGAUAUGGAGGAACACAAGUGGCGAAGGCGAGUUUCUGGUCUGUAACUGACGCUGAUGUGCGAAAGCGUGGGGAUCAAACAGG
rnacentral:rRNA from 1 species